rnacentral:rRNA from 1 species
AACGAACGCUGGCGGCAGGCUUAACACAUGCAAGUCGAACGCGUGUAGCAAUACACGAGUGGCGCACGGGUGAGUAACACGUGGAUUAUCUGCCUUUUGGUUCGGAAUAACCCCGGGAAACUGGGGCUAAUACCGGAUGGUUCCUACGGGAUAAAGAGUUAUCGCCAAAAGAUGAGUCCGCGCCCGAUUAGCUAGUUGGCGGGGUAAUGGCCCACCAAGGCUACGAUCGGUAGCUGGUCUGAGAGGACGAUCAGCCACACUGGGACUGAGACACGGCCCAGACUCCUACGGGAGGCAGCAGUGGGGAAUAUUGGACAAUGGGGGCAACCCUGAUCCAGCCAUGCCGCGUGAGUGAUGAAGGCCUUCGGGUUGUAAAGCUCUUUUGGCGGGGACGAUGAUGACGGUACCCGCAGAAUAAGCCCCGGCUAACUUCGUGCCAGCAGCCGCAGUAACAC